UACAUGUGUCUCAUAGGGUACCAUUGUAAACCUAUCCCUCUUGAUGAAACCAUUGAAAUGAUGCUAACUUAUUUCAGUGCCAGUAUUGUUGAAUACAAUGUUGAGGAAAAUAUGCGUGAAAAAAAAUCUCGCAGCAAGGCUUUUUCUAUUUACAGUUAGACAAGCUCCUUAAAUCAUUUAAUAGCACUUGAACCAUUUAAUAAUUUCCUAAUUUAAUAAGGAAACAAUAAAACUUUCAUCUAUAAAUUUACAUUCUUUGCUUUCAUUGCUAAUCUUUUGGGUGAAUAAAUACAAGCCUGAUACAUAAAUGUAACACAGACUUCUUCUCCACAGGGUUAAGAAAAAUAAGAAAAGCCAAUAGUAAGGCACUACUAAAUGAUGGCAAACCAGAGUGAGUUACUCCAAACUGAAGGACUGCUUGAUUUCACACACAAAGAAGGAGGAAAAGAAUUGCUGGAAGAUGGAAGGAAUAAAGAAAAUACAAGCUUGGGAAAAGGCUGCACACAUUUACUAGUACAACUGAGGAGAAAAAAAAUCCCACAUGAUCUCAUUGCACAUUCAGUGCUUAGACUCUCAUUGGAAUGAUUAAGAAGAUGCUAGAUUACAUAGGCUUUUUCCACCUGUUUUUGACUGCUAACAAGAAGUUACUAAGACUAGUAAAUGACUCUGCCUGAAAGAUUAGUCCAAAGUUUGUUGUUCAGAUGAACGAAAAAUAACAAGCUGGAUUUCCCUUCCCUGCCAGCCCAUUCGUGUUGAAUAGCACUGGCAGCAUUUUUCAUAUGAUGCAUAGUAAUGCUGUUAUUUGGCUCCUCUAGCUUCUAAAUAAAAUACUUGU